UAAUACGUAGGUGGCGAGCGUUGUCCGGAUUUACUGGGCGUAAAGAGCGCGCAGGCGGCCUGAUCAGUCGAAUGUGAAAGCCCCCGGCUCAACUGGGGAGGGUCAUUCGAUACUGUCAGGCUAGAAGGCAGGAGAGGGAAGUGGAAUUCCCGGUGUAGUGGUGAAAUGCGUAGAUAUCGGGAGGAACACCAGUGGCGAAGGCGACUUUCUGGCCUGUUCUUGACGCUGAGGCGCGAAAGCCAGGGGAGCGAACGGGAUUAGAUACCCCGGUAGUCCUGGCCGUAAACGAUGGACACUAGGUGUUGGUGGUAUCAACCCCGCCAGUGCCGUAGCUAACGCAUUAAGUGUCCCGCCUGGGGAGUACGGCCGCAAGGCUA
rnacentral:rRNA from 1 species